rnacentral:rRNA from 1 species
AACGCUGGCGGCGCGCUUAACACAUGCAAGUCGCACGAGAAAGUGGAGCAAUCCAUGAGUACAGUGGCGUACGGGUGAGUAACACGUAGAUUAUCUACCUUCUAGUGGGGAAUACCUCCGGGAAACUGGAGACAAUACCGCAUAAGCUCGUAAGAGGAAAGCAGCAAUGCGCUGGAAGAGGAGUCCGCGGCUGAUUAGCUAGUUGGCGGGGUAAUGGCCCACCAAGGCGAAGAUCGGUAGCCGGCCUGAGAGGGCACACGGCCACACUGGCACUGAAACACGGGCCAGACUCCUACGGGAGGCAGCAGUGGGGAAUCUUGCACAAUGGAGGAAACUCUGAUGCAGCGACGCCGCGUGAGCGAUGAAGCCCUUCGGGGUGUAAAGCUCUUUCGACGGGAACGAUAAUGACGGUACCCGAAGAAGAA